rnacentral:lncRNA from 1 species
CAGAGACGCACAGAGACGCACAGAGAGACACAGAGACGCACAGAGACACACACAGAGAGACACAGACACACAGAGACACAGAGACGCACAGAGACACAGAGACGCACAGAGACACACAGAGACACAGAGACACAGAGACACACACAGAGAGACACAGACACACAGAGACACAGAGACGCACAGAGACACAGAGACGCACAGAGACACACAGAGACACAGAGACACAGAGACACACAGAGACGCACAGAGACGCACAGAGACGCACAGAGACACACAGAGACACACAGAGACACACAGACACACAGAGACACACAGACACACAGAGACACACAGAGACACACAGAGACACAGAGACACAGAGACACAGAGACACACAGAGACACACAGAGACACACAGAGACACACAGAGACACAGAGACACAGAGACACACAGAGACACACAGAGACACACAGAGACACAGAGACACACAGAGACACACAGAGACACAGACACACAGAGACACACAGAGACACACACAGAGACACAGAGACACAGAGACACAGAGACACACACAGAGACACAGAGACACAGACACACAGAGACACAGAGACACACAGAGACACACACAGAGACACAGAGACGCACAGAGACACACAGAGACACACACACAGAGACACACACAGAGACACACAGAGACGCACAGAGACACACAGAGACACAGACACACAGAGACACACACAGAGACACAGAGACACACAGAGACACACACAGAGACACAGAGACACAGAGACACAGAGACACACAGAGACACACAGAGACACACAGAGACACACAGAGACACACAGAGACGCACAGAGACACACAGAGACACAGACACACAGAGACACAGACACACAGAGACACACAGAGACAGAGACACACAGAGACACACAGAGACACACAGAGACACACAGAGACACACAGAGACACACAGAGACACACAGAGAGGCACCGUAGUUAAUCUACAACCCCAGCCUGAAGGGGAAACCAGCACUACUAAAGAUCAAUAUGUCCACACUCAUCUACCCCCUUAUCAACAGUCAUCUGAACACUAUCAAUACUGUCAAUAAUUCAUCUAUUGUGUCAUUUCAUUAUGAUUCAUGACAUUACAAGGCUGUGCUCCAUGCCUGGUUCACACAUUCAACUGUAAAAAGGCACAAUCUGUAGUUGAAUUAAUUUUUUAAGUACUGAAUAGGCAGGACUGAGCUGUACUCUGACUGGCUGAAAUGGAACUGUUUGUUCCAUGUGUUUUGUUUGAGAAGUUACAGAUAUCCCCUUUCAAAUGUAUCUCCAAGCUUCCCUACUGACACCAGUAUCAAACUAGAUUGUCCAAGGUAUUGAGCUUCCCUACUGACACCAGUAUCAAACUAGAUUGUCCAAGGUAUUGAGCUUCCCUACUGACACCAGUAUCAAACUAGAUUGUCCAAGGUAUUGAGCUUCCCUACUGACACCAGUAUCAAACUAGAUUGUUUCCUCUCCAGAUCCUGACUACUUUGAACAGGAAAUGUUUAAUAAUACAUUCCUGAACCUGACAGACUAUGAAUUACAAGGAGAACAGGUGGAACAGAC